rnacentral:rRNA from 1 species
GACGGAAGGUGCAAGCGUUGCUCGGAAUCACUGGGCGUAAAGGGUGCGUAGGCGGCUUGGUGGGUCUGGUGUGAAAGCCCCGGGCUCAGCCCGGGAAGGGCACUAGAAACUGCCGAGCUGGAGUGCCGGAGGGGAGAGUGGAAUUCCUGGUGUAGCGGUGAAAUGCGCAGAUAUCAGGAGGAACACCGGUGGCGAAGGCGGGUCUCUGGGCCGAUAUUGACGCUGAGGAGCGAAAGCGUGGGGAGCGAACAGG